AAUAACCCAAAUAAUGAAAUCGGACUGUACCUUUAACUCAAUGCAGAAUGUCCUUCUCGCGAAGAUUGGUAACAUGCGUUGUCCAAUAUCUCCGCACGGGUAUAUGAAUUGGUUCUAAUACCUCGUGUGGAUGGUGGCGCAUGUGAAAUCAGGAAGGC
rnacentral:ribozyme from 1 species